AACGCACGAGACCUGCGGACCUGCGGAAGGAUCAUUAAUGAGAAACUGCCCCUCGCGGGUAGAUCUCCCACCCUUUGUAAACUUACCUUUGUUGCUUUGGCAGGCCCGUCUCCGGACCGCCGGCUUCGGCUGGCCAGUGCCUGCCAGAGGAUUCUAAAACUCUGUCUGUCAGUGUUGUCUGAGUCUAUUUACAAUCGUUAAAACUUUUAACAAUGGAUCUCUAGAUCGGAAGAGCACACG
rnacentral:misc_RNA from 1 species